AAGACACAAAAAAACCCAGUGUUUUGUUUCAUAUGAUUCUCGGCGAGAGAAAACCUCUCUCUUUCUUCUUCGAUGUACAAUCACAAAUGAUGUUUGACAAUAUCAAAGUUAGAUCUGCUCAAGAAAAUUAGAGGAAUUCUUUUACAGUUCGAUCGAAAUAGUUUAUGGAAGAUGUAAGCCUCGAUCGGCCAGAUAUUGUCACGGUUCAAGACCAUACACAGAUUUUAUCGAUUUGUUUUGGGAUCUUGCUUCUUCAAGCAGCCCAGAAUGUCGACAAGCAGAGAGAAACUCCAGAAUCAAUCAUCUUGCGGAAAUACUCAAUCGCUUCUUUGGCUCAUCCGUUUUGUCCACAACCAACAUAUAUCAACGAUAUGAUUAAGAUUGAACAGAUUAGUUCUUAUUGAAUGAUGACUUGAGGAAAUCGAGGUUAUCCGCGCAAAGAGAUCUGAAACUAAUUAGACAACAAAAAGGAUAUCUUUGCAUAUGACGCUGAAGUGGUUUUUAUGUAUCUGAAAAAGAGCUGAAGCAAUUAAAAGACUGUGUUGCCUUCUACAUAUAAAUAAAAUGGCAACAAAAACAUGGAAUACAAAGAUCUGGUGUUUCAUGCUUCUAUGAAGAUCAACUUCUGAUGUGUAUAUAAAAGAUAAGC